ensembl:lincRNA
CUGGGCUCAUGGUUGAGGCAGAGCUGUGCUAAUGUACAUGACUUUCAGUUGCAGGCAUUGUUGGGCUGUGUCCUAAGGUGAAUCAACAUGAAGAAAAGCCCUGGCUGCUCGUGCACUGAUAACUUCAUCUUUUCAGACAUCUGGGAACUACCGCCACAAUGUCUGGAAAAAAAAAUGACUUCACACUAAUGCAGCAGAGGCAAACCAUGGUUUGGCCAAAAAUGGAACAGAAUUUACAAGGGAAAAGGGAAGUUCCUGGAGUAAUAUGUGUAGGUCAGAUGAGGAUGGAACUGGUGAAUGAGCAGAAGAGAAGGUUGGAAGAGUGCAGUGGUGAUGACAGCCCUCCGCUGCUCCUUCCCCAGAGGAAGGAGCUCCAGCAGAGAAGCCUACCCUCGUCUAUUGUUACCCAGAUGUUGGGAUCUGAGCAUGCCACUAUAAGAUACAUAUCAACCCCUGAAUGAUCCUCAAAUCAAGGAAGUGGACUUUUCUUUCCUGACAUUGACUAGAAAGCAGCCAGUUUUGUUGGCUGUGGUCUCACUUCAUUUACAAGGUCUCUAAAGUUCGUG